GCGGCCGUAGUCUAGUCUGGUAGGACACCGUAACGGCCUAAGGCCAGCCUGCCACGCUGGUGGUCCCGGGUUCAAAUCCCGGCGGCCGCACCA
rnacentral:tRNA from 2 species